GAUAUAAAUAAAUUUAUUAUAAAAUAUUAAGUUUAAGUAAAAAUUUUUAAUAAAAAUAUUUUUUUUUUUUUAUUUUUUAGAUAAAAUUAAUUUUAUUAUAGAGAAUUAGUAUAGUGAUAGAAUAAUGAAAUAAAUUUUGAAAGUUUAAAUUUUUGAAAGUAAAUUUAAAUUAUUGUACCUUGUGUAUCAGGGUUUAUUAAAUAAAAGUUAUAGAAAUUUAAUAUUCUCGAAUUUAAAAGAGUUAAAAAGUUAUAAAUUUUAUUGUAAAAAAAAUAUUUAAAAUAAUUUUUUAGUAAUGAAAUGUUAGUCGUUUUUAAAUUUAUCUAGUUUUUUAAGAAAUAAAUUUAAUUUAGUUAUUUAUUAAUCAUGAUAAUUAUUGAAUAUUAAAUUGAAAUAAAUAAUUAAUAUUUUAAGGGAUAAGCUUUAAAGUAAAAUUUUAUAAAUAAAAAUUUUAUUAUAUUUAAAAUUUAUAGAAGUGGAAGUAUUUAUUAUUUUAGUGUAUUAUAACAAAUUUUAUAUAUUUUAUAAUUUAUAUAUUAUUUUAAAUUAUUUAUUAAAAUUAUUAAUAUAAUUAUAAAAUUAAUGUAAUAAUGAUAGAAUUAGUAUAAUUUUAUGUAAAUUAAAUUUAUAAUUUUAAGUUUAAAUUAAGGAAUUCGGCAAAUAUUUUUUUCGCCUGUUUAUUAAAAACAUGUCUUUUUGAUAAUAAUUUAAAGUCUGACCUGCCCUAUGAUAGUUUUAAAUGGCCGCGAUAAUUUGAUCGUGCAAAGGUAGCAUAAUCAUUAGUUUUUUAAUUGAGAACUGGAAUGAAAGGUCGAACGAAAAAAAAACUGUCUCAAUUUAAAUUUUAUUAGAAUUUAAUAUUUAAGUAAAAAAGCUUAAAUAAAUUUAAAAGACGAGAAGACCCUAUAGAGUUUUAUAUUUAUUAUAUAAUUUUUUAGUUUUAGUAUUUAAGUUUAAAUUUAUAAUUUAAAUAUUUAGUUGGGGUGAUUGAAAAAUUUAAAAAACUUUUUUUAUUUAUUGUACAUUGAUAAAUGAAUUUAUGAUCCAUUAUUAAUGAUUAAAAGAUUAAAUUACCUUAGGGAUAACAGCGUAAUUUUUUUUGAGAGUUCUUAUCGAAAAAAAAGUUUGCGACCUCGAUGUUGGAUUAAAAUAAAUUUUUGGUGUAGAAGCUAAUAAAUUAGGUCUGUUCGACCUUUAAUAUUUUACAUGAUCUGAGUUUAAACCGGUGUAAGCCAGGUUGGUUUCUAUCUUUAAAUAAAUUAAAAUAUUUUAGUACGAAAGGAUCAAUUAUUUAUAAUAAUUAUUUAGUUUAGAAUUUUAUUAAAAUAUUACUUUGGCAGAAUAGUGUUUUAAAUUUAGAAUU
rnacentral:rRNA from 1 species